CCCACUUAAGUCGUUAUAGGCCUACUGACUCCAUGUGAGGGGAAGGAUGAUUAUCAUAAUGGAACAUUAUGAUUACCUCCGCCAAGGAGGUCCUCCAUGAUGAGAUCCUGCUGCUCCUGACUGCGUCCAGAGGAGUGGCUGUUGUUAUGGCCCUGGCUCUUCCCAGUUCCACUGAUCCUCCUCAACAC